CGGGAACCUCACCUGACUACCGCAAAGCUCUCUGAGAUCACCAAGGGAGAUCUUAUUUUUUCACAAAAGAACCAGAAAUCUUUGAUGCUUCGAGGACAAAUCAGACCUGAGGAUUCUGAACAGGCUCCAUGGAAAAGUCCCUGUUCCAGAGGCCUAGCUGUCACAAUCCUGAUUUCUAUACCUCUUCAGUCUAGAUGCUUGCAUCGCAGGGAGACAAGAACAGGUGGAGUGCCCACACUGCAGUCUCCAGACGCAGCAGAUUUCCUUGCUCAGCUGCUUCAUUUCACCUCAGGCAAACUCUGCUCUCCAGCCCAGCAUUUCUACUGCUCAGUCAGGCUGCCCUCCCCUUUGAAAAUUAUACAAGGUCUUGGACAGCCCAAUCCUUGUGCCUCAGCUUUAAGAGGUCCAGUCGGCACCCCCCGGCCUUCCACUGCCUUUUCAUUCUCAGGUGGCUCUCCCAGGUCCACAGGUGAUGGAUUAAGGGAGCACUCUCCAGAGUGGGGAAAGCUGGAGAGGAAAGGAAAACAACUCAAACCAAUGUGUGAUGUGGGGCAAAGCCACAAGUACGAGAAGACUGAAGGCAGACCUUCAGGGAAAAUAUCAGAUGCGGGCUCCUAGAUGCAAAAGCACAAAGAAAGCAGUUGGGGAAGCACCCAGAAUUCAUAAAAAGAGCUCCUAGGAGAUCUGGACAAACCAAUGACAUUAUCUGCCACUGAUGCCUGGAAGUAAGCUUUAUGGAGGUAGUAGAGAACAUUGCAGGCAGAAGGAAUAUUAUUACUAAAGUCCUCUAACAGAAGCAUUCAAGGAACUGGAUGAAGUCGAAUGAAGAGAGCACAGGGCGACAAGACCAAGCAGCACAAAAUGAGGCCACAGGCAUGAAAUGAGCUAGACCAUUCUAGGCUAUGAAGGCAAUGUAAGCUAGACUAACCCUAGCUGCUCAAAUGCGCAAAUCCCCAAACGUCAGUGACUUGGCAUAAGCUUAUUCUUCAUUUACCUGAAGUCCAGUAGAGCUGUUUGCAAUCAGUGAAUGUGUUUUGUUUUGUUUGCAUUGGGUGAUUCAUGACCCAGCUGCUUCUGUUUCAUGAUUUUGCCCUCCCUGUCAUCUGGUAAGUUGUCUAUAUCUACAGAGACAAUUGAGAAGCUCCAGUGACUACAUAAAACCCUGACCCACAAAGGACAAUUAUUCCUUCCAUUUAUAUUCCAUUAGUGAGAACUCAUUGAAAGAAAAAAGAAAAGAAAAGAUAGGGAAAAAAAUGGGAAAUGCAAUCCCUCCUAGGUAAUUGCCUUGACAAAUCCACACUCUGGAAAGAGAAACAUGAAAUUUGUUGGACAGGUUAACAUUCUUCCCACCUCAACUCUGUUAUGAGUUUAAGUGUUUAUCAUAAAACAAUGGAAACAUUCUUAAGCAAAAAAUAUAACCAACAGUAGGGAGUGGGUAAAUCACUUAAACUGACAUAUACAGUAUAAAUUGGCUAUAGAAAAUAAUGUAUUUAAAAAAAUAAAUUGAGUCAAGGGUUAACA
rnacentral:lncRNA from 1 species